rnacentral:rRNA from 1 species
GGGUGAGUAACACGUGAGCAACCUGCCCCCUACUUCGGGAUAAGCCUUGGAAACGAGGUCUAAUACCGGAUAUGAGCACUUACCGCAUGGUGGGUGUUGGAAAGUUUUUCGGUGGGGGAUGGGCUCGCGGCCUAUCAGCUUGUUGGUGGGGUAAUGGCCUACCAAGGCGUCGACGGGUAGCCGGCCUGAGAGGGCGACCGGCCACACUGGGACUGAGACACGGCCCAGACUCCUACGGGAGGCAGCAGUGGGGAAUAUUGCACAAUGGGCGAAAGCCUGAUGCAGCGACGCCACGUGAGGGAUGACGGCCUUCGGGUUGUAAACCUCUUUCAGCAGGGAAGAAGCGAAAGUGACGGUACCUGCAGAAGAAGCGCCGGCUAACUACGUGCCAGCAGCCGCGGUAAUACGUAGGGCGCAAGCGUUGUCCGGAAUUAUUGGGCGUAAAGAGCUCGUAGGCGGUCUGUCGCGUCUGGUGUGAAAUCCCAUGGCUCAACUGUGGGCUUGCAUCGGGUACGGGCAGACUAGAGUGCU